UGCGGGUUGGUGUAAUAGAAACACAUUUGGCUCAUGAUCGAAAGAUUUAGGUGCAAAUCCUAAAUCCGCUU